rnacentral:rRNA from 1 species
UACGUAGGGGGCUAGCGUUGUCCGGAAUCAUUGGGCGUAAAGAGCGCGUAGGCGGCCCGGUAAGUCCGUUGUGAAAGUCAAAGGCUCAACCUUUGAAUGCCGAUGGAUACUGCCGGGCUCGAGUCCGGAAGAGGCGAGUGGAAUUCCUGGUGUAGCGGUGGAAUGCGCAGAUAUCAGGAGGAACACCGAUAGCGAAGGCAGCUCGCUGGGACGGUACUGACGCUGAGGCGCGAAAGCGUGGGGAGCGAACAGG